rnacentral:rRNA from 1 species
CCAGACUCCUACGGGAGGCAGCAGUGGGGAAUAUUGCACAAUGGGGGGAACCCUGAUGCAGCGACGCCGCGUGAGCGAAGAAGUAUCUCGGUAUGUAAAGCUCUAUCAGCAGGGAAGAAGAAGGACGGUACCUGAGUAAGAAGCCCCGGCUAACUACGUGCCAGCAGCCGCGGUAAUACGUAGGGGGCAAGCGUUAUCCGGAUUUACUGGGUGUAAAGGGAGCGUAGACGGCGAAGAAAGUCUGAAGUGAAAGCCAGCGGCUCAACCGCGGAAUGGCUUUGGAAACUUUUUUGCUGGAGUACCGGAGAGGUAAGCGGAAUUCCCAGUGUAGCGGUGAAAUGCGUAGAUAUUAGGAGGAACACCAGUGGCGAAGGCGGCUUACUGGACGGUAACUGACGUUGAGGCUCGAAAGCGUGGGGAGCAAACAGGAUUAGAUACCCCCGUAUGG